rnacentral:lncRNA from 1 species
ACCCACUCCGGAUCUCUUCAGCAGCUGGUUCAGUCACGACAAAAAGCAGCUAAAGCACUACAGGAAACAUUGUACAAGAUAGCAGUUCAAGAGGCAGAGGCUGCUCCACUCACCAUAGAUGCAGCUUGCCAGAUCUGUGAGGAGGAACAUCCUUCAGAGAGACGUCGUCAUUAAGAUGAUGCUGAUGAGGAAGCUUCCCCAGCAGAAAAUGUGGUGUCAUCUGACAAGAUUAAUCUGGCAGGAAAGGGAAGAUAAUGGCCAAAGGUGUUCUCCCAAUUUUGACUGCCCAACCUACCUCUGGAUAACAGUACUGCCUGGGUGUGAGUGGGUGUGCAUUGGAGAUAGACUAUUCAGAAUCCUCAAAAAGAGGCCUACCCAGUGCAGUCUCCCCCUUCGCCAGCUACAGCAGCAAAAUAAACAGCACCAGGUGGAAACCAAGGAACAUGCCUGUGGUUGA